rnacentral:rRNA from 1 species
CAGUAGCCACGGUAAUACGGAGGGUGCAAGCGUUAAUCGGAAUUACUGGGCGUAAAGCGCACGCAGGCGGUCUGUCAAGUCAGAUGUGAAAUCCCCGGGCUUAACCUGGGAACUGCAUUUGAAACUGGCAGGCUAGAGUCUUGUAGAGGGGGGUAGAAUUCCAGGUGUAGCGGUGAAAUGCGUAGAGAUCUGGAGGAAUACCGGUGGCGAAGGCGGCCCCCUGGACAAAGACUGACGCUCAGGUGCGAAAGCGUGGGGAGCAAACAGGAUUAGAUACCCCAGUAGUCCCUGUCUCUUAUAC